rnacentral:ncRNA from 1 species
AUAAAUCCUGUGACUAGAAAUAGUAGGAAAAAAAUAAAAGUCAGCGAAUCGAGGAUGGUGUGAGCUCGAGUAGAGGUUUUUUCUGAACGCAUCUGUGAGGAUUUUUCUUGAAAUAAGUAGGGAAAAACGUAGAACUGCGUUAAAUUAACUUAAAGUGGAUAAAUUUUAUUUAUCAAGCAGAGUGGUACCACGGAAUUAACCUGUCUCUAUU